rnacentral:rRNA from 1 species
UACGGGGGGGGUAAGCGUUGUUCGGAAUUACUGGGCGUAAAGGGUUCGUAGGUGGCCAACUAAGUCAGACGUGAAAUCCCUCAGCUUAACUGGGGAACUGCGUCUGAUACUGAUUGGCUUGAGUGCAGGAGAGGAACGCGGAAUUCCAGGUGUAGCGGUGAAAUGCGUAGAUAUCAGGAGGAACACCGAUGGCGAAGGCAGGUCUCUGGGCCACUACUGACGCUGAGAAGCGAAAGCAUGGGGAGCGAACAGG